rnacentral:piRNA from 1 species
UGAAGAUUCUUUAAUGGCUAAGGAGGAGAC